UCCCUGCUGCCUCUUUAUUUGAGUUCCAUAUUUCUUUGCAGUGCAACACAUUAUUUUCAGGAUUCCUUUCUCUCCAUUUCCAAAAUCCAAUGAAGAAGAAAAUGGAGUUUGGGUAUCGGAUUGCACUGACCAUUCAA
rnacentral:lncRNA from 1 species